UAGAUUUUAAGCUCAUAACCAUACGAGGAAAGGAGAGGGAGACGCGCGAGAAACAGAGCCCACGACUCCCUCGUCUCUCCCGAAUCGCCACCACCAUUGCCUCGUCUCCCUUGCGCCGACCCUCCCCACCUCCCACCACAAAGCUCUGGAGGCUGUCAGAUCCGCCAAAUCCCGACCCAACCGUCCCUCUCGCGUCCCAUCCUGAUCUCUUCACGCGGCUCCUCGCCGCUCUACGUGCGGUGGCUCCAUCAGGUAAUGUCCGGCGAAUCCCGCCACCACGAAGCACAGGCCGAGGUCCCUUCGAUCCGUGGAGCCCUCCCAUCCAGCUAGAUCCAGCGCUUGAGUCCACGACAGCCCACCCGCGACCCAUCCCCCAUGGCUAGGGUUCCUGGCGUCGGAUCUGGUGCCAGUGGCCAUGUCGUUGUCGUCCUCGUCUCAUCCACGUGCGGGGAGGAACGUCCAGUGGACAACCUUGCUGCGGCUCGGGAUGAAGCAGCCACGAGCUUCCUCCUCCUCCGGCUUCAGGUUUUGACCAUGGCCAACAUAUAUUCUUUUAGGCUAAUUACUAAAUCAAUCUUACGAUGGUUCAUGUGGCUGCGGAGUUGUAGCAACGGCAGUUUGAAGCAGAUUAGGCGCCCCGGGCGUCUUUGCCAGCGAGGCUGUCGAGUGAAGGAAAUGGCAGUGUGGUGAUUUGUUUUCUAUUCUCCAUCCUUAAAGCUCAUAACAGAAGAAAGAACUAUACAAUUGACUUUAUCACUGUAGUUUUAUUAAGAAAAAAACCUGUCUUUUACGCAUGUAUUGAUUCUCCUCUUGAAUCGAUUGUGUUGUAGGGAGUGAAAGCAUCCAGUUGGGGUGGUCUGCAGCUCUGGUCGCCUCCAGCAGCACUACAUAAUCAAAGUUCCAAACAAUAGUACUGCACUGCUGCCUCCAGCCAACCACAACAUAAUCAUUGCUGCACGCACCAACUUGUUGUAGGGGGACACCAUGGAAGGUGUACAAAAUUAGCAAUGGAUCUCUAGGCUGGUGAUGACCAUGUAAAUUCGUUUCAGUGGAUUUGGGGCUGUACGUUCGUUCCAAAGCAUGGUGAGCACAUGUAGGUUUGUCUAUUUCCUGUUGGAUGACUGAAACCAACUAGAGCUAAAUGUUUUGGUUCAGUUUCCGAUGACAAACUUGUUUGGUUCAGUUUGCUAAUUAAAUGGAGAAGAGAAGAGAAGUAGUACUGUCACUCACAUUGCCUUUGAAUGCACAAUAGCGCUUAGGCUACUGUUCAUAUAAUGUUAUUGAGCCAUGUUGUUCUGCAGGCUAUGUCAUAUAUUGUGGCGUCUGGAUUAGUAAACACUCAUGCCGGCAUAUUUUCAGAAUCAUAACAAGGACGUAGUUUGCUACAGUUCUAAGUUAUGAUCCUAAAUUUAAACUUGAUGGUGCUCAAAUGAAAGUACAUUUUGGGCAGUGUAAUACAACACUUGCGAAAACUGAAGAUUUGGUACAGAGUCGCAAAAACUGCAAAACUAUUGGUAAUGCAGAAAAAAUAUAUUGCAUGGCCUUCAACCUUUGUACGUGUCUAAUAUCCUGCCUUUAUCACUACUUGCAUCAUGUCAAUGCAUUAUGUGUUAACAAUUCAUUUUGUUAUUUUCUUUGUAGAUUGAAAAGAUAUAUGGAUGAUUAUAUGGGUGCGUAACAAGUAUGCUGCAACGAUGAUGAUGAUAUUCUGGUUCAUGAUGAUGGAUGCUUUCAAUUUUAGUUAAGUUGUGGGACGUUCCUGUUGGACGAUGUUCCUUAGUUAGUUUUACUUAAGUUGUAGGGAUGUUGAUGGAUGAUUUUAGUUUAGAUUUUGCUGUCAAGAAAAUAUUAGAUUAUGCGUCACAUUUGGAUGAUGUUCCUCCUAUAAUAUCCAUUAUUGUAAUCCAACAGUUUUAUCUAAUAUAUGAUUUCUUCCUCUUGUGAGUA